AGUGAACGCUGGCGGUAGGCCUAACACAUGCAAGUCGAACGGCAGCACAGUAAGAGCUUGCUCUUACGGGUGGCGAGUGGCGGACGGGUGAGGAAUACAUCGGAAUCUACUUUUUCGUGGGGGAUAACGUAGGGAAACUUACGCUAAUACCGCAUACGACCUACGGGUGAAAGCAGGGGAUCUUCGGACCUUGCGCGAUUGAAUGGGCCGGUGUCGGAUUAGCUAGUUGGCGGGGUAGAGGCCCACCAAGGCGACGAUCGGUAGCUGGCCUGAGAGGAGGACCGGCCACAAGGGUACUGAGGGAGGGCCCAGAGGGCAAUGGGGGACAGGGGGGGGGAACAUGGCACAACGGGCGGGGGGGGGAUAAAGAAGCGCCGGGUUCGUGAGGACUGUUUGUGGGGAAAAAAAAGCUGUAGCUUGUGACCCAGCGUUUGUGACGGUACCGAAUAAAGAAGCACCGGCUAACUUCGUG
rnacentral:rRNA from 1 species